AUACGGAGGAUCCAAGCGUUAUCCGGAUUUAUUGGGUUUAAAGGGAGCGUAGAUGGAUGUUUAAGUCAGUUGUGAAAGUUCGGGGCUCAACCCCCGGAAUUGCAGUUGAUACUGGAUAUCUUGAGUACAGUUGAGGUAGGCGGAAUUCGUGGUGUAGCGGUGAAAUGCUUAGAUAUCACGAAGAACUCCGAUUGCGAAGGCAGCUUACUAAGCUGUAACUGACAUUGAGGCUCGAAAGUGUGGGUAUC
rnacentral:rRNA from 1 species